CUGCUCAGUUAUCCGUAUCCCCCGACCUCCUGCCACCAGCAUACCAGGACCUUCCCUUGGAUGCGACGCCGCUGCCGUCUGCGCCCACCGCCGCCGGGAUCCUGCCCCAUCCCAUCCCAUCCCCCACAAAGCUCCGCCACCCGCUGGGAUCCCCCCUCCCCUCCCCUCGAACGGGAGGUUCUGGCAGCGUCGGCACGUUUGCUCGGACGGGGUGGCGGCGGCCUGCUCGUCGGCUCACAGGGCUGUGGUGGCGCCCCCCUGCCGUGGUGGUGUGCCCCCCUCAUUCCUGGUGGGUGGCUGGUGGCGACGGCGGUUUGCGGGGCGGGUGUUUAGUGGCUCCGUUGCUCGACAGAUCUGGGGCCGGCCAGCAGCGCGGGGGCUAGCUGGGCCUAUGGCGGAGGGAGGCGGUCUGGUGGUGGUGCUGCUUGCCUGCUUGUUUGCCGGUGACGCAAGGAUUCUGGGGCGGCUUGGAUCGUGGCCCAUCAUGGCUGCAUGAAUUUUUUCUGCAUCUUAAGAUUGGCUCCCACCGCCGGAAGCAGCAGCUCCACCACACAACAAUGGCGCUGCGGGUGUCGCUCUCGAGCGCCAGUUCAUGGUCCCCGCGCCCAUCUACCUGUGCAGCGCGACCGCUAACAUGGGCAGCUCGAUGAGGAACACCGGCGGCGCCGGCGUGCACUCGUGGAUGGCCAGGCUCAGCCGGCCGCAGCGGUGCCCGAAGAGCGCCACCGCCGGUGCGUGGUCCGCGAGGAGGGCCCUGCUGCCGCUGUGCUGCCUGAGCAGCGCGCCCAUCUUGAGCACCACCACGGCUCGCCCCAUUCCUGGGCUCGGGCGGCGCGGACCCCCGCCGCGACGCAUCACCCCUUCCUUGGCUCCUGCGGCGUGGACGCUGGCGGCAAGCCGCGACGCGUGCCCUCUCCGACCUACCUCGCCGUCCUUCGUCCGUUCCCGCCCUCUCUAUCUCUCCCCUGUCUCUCUCUUCUCUCUCUGAACUCUCUCUAUUUUCUUCAACAGGAAGACCACCAUGCCCGCUGCAGAAGCUUCGAGCCGACCCCGCAGCAUGGAGACCGCCACCGCCCAUCCGUCGUCGGGAAUCGCCGGAUCCGGCCCCUCUCCGACCUGCCUCGCCGUCCUUCGUCCGUUCCCGAUAUCUUCCCGGCGCCAGGAGCUCAGGCGAGCGCCGCCACGAGACCCUGCCUCCUCUGCCCCGUAGCCAGCCAUGGAGGUUGUCGCCUCUCCUUCUCGAUUCGCCCGCCGCGGGAUCCACGAUGGUCUCCUCCAGGGACCCGCCAUGGAGGUUGCCGCCGGAUCCACGGCGGAGUAGCCGAGAUCCGCCGCCCGUUCCGCGGCGCCUCGGCCCGCCAAGGCCAGCGCCGAGGCCGACAAGGCGCGCAGGAAGGUCAAGGCCCUCACCAAGCAACGGGAGGACUUGCGGGCUAGGCUCGCCUACCGCAAGCGCGCCCACGAGCUCACCUCCAUGCCGGCCAAGGCCACCGCCGUGACGCCAUUUUUUUUUUAUAAUGAAUAGUUUCCCAGAUCCACUUAAUAGGGACUGCGGGUUGAUUUCGCAGAAACAGAGGGACUUUUUUGUAAAAUUGGCGACGACAUACCACCAGAAACACUCGCUGCUGCUUUAUUAGUAGGUAAAGACUUAAUUAUUACCUCCACUGUCUCCCCACCGCUAAAGAAAGAAAGAAAAAAGAGCCAUCGAUAUAGACAUGCCCGACGUUCUUUGCCUCGUGCCUCCCUCUUACACCUCACACAUCACCAAAUCUUAUCCUUCCACUGGCUCCCCACCGCUACUGGAAAAGGAGAAGAAAAAUAAAUUGCCAGCAAAAGGCCGGCGCGGACCUCCGCCACCUACCACACAACAGCCAGCUGCUGCCGUCCUCGGUGCUCCCGGCGGUCGGCGAAGGCGACCCUGGGCAUGCUGCAGCUGCUGCUCCGGAGGAACGAUUACCUGGAGCAGGAGCUCGACCUUCGCUUCCGCCUCUUCCGCUCCUGGGACUCUCCUUCGCGCCAACGCCUCCGCCAUCGGUGCCGUCGUUGGCAACGCCGAUGCCGCAUCGGCGCCGCCGUCCUUCUCCGUGGGGACCGACCGCGUAGACCUCCCAAGUGCCGGGAGCACCGAAUCCGCGUCACCAACACCCCCAACUUCCUCACCGACGACGUCGCCGGCCUCGCCAUCUCCGUGCCAAGGAAGACCACGCAGGCUGACCGUUACGUGCGCGCCGGCUUGUGGAAGGCAAGAGUGACUACGCAGCCACCACACGGGGAAGAAUUACAACUGCGUGUGGCCGGCUGGUUCAAGGGACGUUCAUGGUGGGCGCGGCGGCUCGUGUGCCGGGGUAGGCUCGUGUGCCGGGGCAGUGGCGAUCUCGCGGACGGAUAGUAGAAAAAAAAGGUGAGUUUUUUUGCUGGAAAAAAGAGAAGGUGAGGUUGUAUCUCGUUAGUUGGGUUUCCACUGUUGAUGAAAAUCAUACCUGGCCGAUCUGACGGGGCUGCCUGCAACUUCAGAACUCGAGCGGAUUGCUACAUAAUAGUCUUGUUGUAGCCUGGCCGAUCUGUGAAUAUUUGAUUGUAGGUGAAGGAGGGGCGGCCGCCCACUUGACGGUGCUGAUCAGGGCGGCGAGGGAGCCCGGCAGGGGGGCGUCGAUGUAGUGCUGGGCGGCGACGAUCCGAUGUAGGGAUCAAGGUCGCCGUGCAGGGAGGCAUCAAUGCAGUGCAGGGCUGGCGAUGAAAGGCAGGGAAAGGGGCGAGGGACACGAUUAGGUUGAGUUUCCUUUUUUGCGAGUUGGUUAGAUGGUUAGAUUACCGUGAUUUGAGGGGCUGAAGAGGUGGGACGGGGAGUUUCAUAUUUUCAUCUGGUGGAGUACGGUCAGUCUAUGUAAACUGCUAAGCGCACACCAGAUCUUGAAUAAAUCAAUGAUGGUUGUUAGAUGGGGUUGUGCGGGCUUGAUCCUGUGGUGGUGAUAUGGGCGACGAGGCUGUGGACAUUUUGUGGGGUGCACGUAAGAAAGUUUUUGUUUGAUUGUUUAAUAGUAGUGAAGAUAGAAUGGAUGAGCAUUACAAAGUGCA